GACGAACGCUGGCGGCGUGCCUAAUACAUGCAAGUAGAACGCUGAAGGAGGAGCUUGCUUCUCUGGAUGAGUUGCGAACGGGUGAGUAACGCGUAGGUAACCUGCCUGGUAGCGGGGGAUAACUAUUGGAAACGAUAGCUAAUACCGCAUAAGAGUAGAUGUUGCAUGACAUUUGCUUAAAAGGUGCAAUUGCAUCACUACCAGAUGGACCUGCGUUGUAUUAGCUAGUUGGUGGGGUAACGGCUUACCAAGGCGACGAUACAUAGCCGACCUGAGAGGGUGAUCGGCCACACUGGGACUGAGACACGGCCCAGACUCCUACGGGAGGCAGCAGUAGGGAAUCUUCGGCAAUAGACGGAAGUCUGACCGAGCAACGCCGUGUGAGUGAAGAAGGUUUUCGGAUCGUAAAGCUCUGUUGUAAGAGAAGAACGAGUGUGAGAGUGGAAAGUUCACACUGUGACGGUAUCUUACCAGAAAGGGACGGCUAACUACGUG
rnacentral:rRNA from 1 species